GUGAAGUGGACGCGCAGUCGGGCAUUGUCACCUGUCAAGCUGCAUUCCACUGGACCUGUCCUAACGGUCCAUGUCCCAGGAUCUCUGCAGAGCCAACACAGCCAGUGUGCGAAAACAAGGAAUUGAUCAACCUUGCCCAAUGUGAAGCGGGUACACCAACUUUGCCAAGCGGCUAUAACAGCAGUACGGCUGUCAUCGAUCCCACAACGUCCACAUUCCGCUGUGCUGAAGGCUAUUAUGCGCAAUGUACCGGCAAUGCAAUAUGUGCUGGAGGUCCUUUAAACCAUCCAGCCGUACCUCGUCAACAGGAUGGUGAACUAAUCUGGGCCAACCUUCCAACCUGCCAUCCAAUAUAUCCGAAUGACUGCAAAGACCCUGCAACAACCUGCCGGCCAGGUUCCUACUGUCAAAACGUGAAAGGCGGUCACAAUUGCCUGCAAUGCGGACACGGUAUAGGUACUGGGCGGGAAGACGUGGACGCAGAGUCCGGAUUUAUCUCCUGUAAAGCUGGAUUCCACUGGACCUGUCCUAACGGUCCAUGUCCCAGGAUCUCUGCGGAGCCAGCACCACCAGUGUGCGAGAACAAGGAAUUGAUCAACCUUGCUCAAU